rnacentral:rRNA from 1 species
UACGGAGGGUGAAAGCGGUAUUCGGAUUUACUGGGCGUAAAGGGCGCGUAGGCGGUCGUAUAAGUCAGAUGUGAAAGCCCGGGGCUCAACCCCGGAAGUGCAUUUGAUACUGUACGACUUGAGUAUGGGAGAGGGAAGUGGAAUUCCUGGUGUAGAGGUGAAAUUCGUAGAUAUCAGGAGGAACACCGGUGGCGAAGGCGACUUCCUGGACCAAUACUGACGCUGAGGCGCGAAGGCGUGGGUAGCAAACAGG